rnacentral:rRNA from 1 species
AUGGACCAGGAGGUGCAGCCGGACUUGGUGUGUGCUGCGACCAUGGAGGACAAAGAGAAGGAGGCGAUGAUCCAUCACUGUAGGAUGGGACAUGUAUCUUUUGAUAAGAUGAGUAGAAUCUUUCCGGAUGUUAUGUGUGGGAUAGGCAAGGGCAAGUUGACAUGUGAUGCUUGCGAAUAUGCCAAACACACACGAGCCUCAUAUGUGAGUAAGGGGCUUAGGAGCAUAUCUCCUUUUAUGCUUAUUCAUUCGGAUGUAUGGAAGAGCCCAGUUGCAUCAAUGAAUGGAAUGAAAUACUUUGUGACAUUCAUCGAUUGCUAUUCUCGUAUGACUUGGAUUUAUUUGAUUCGUCACAAAGAUGAGGUGUUUAGCUGUUUUCAGAAUUUCCAUGCCUUGGUGAAGAAUCAGUUUCAGGUGCAGGUGCGGGUGAUCAGGACUGACAAUGGGACAGAGUAUGUGAACAACACAUUUGGGGCCUACUUGUCUGAUCAAGGUAUUCUUCAUCAAACUUCGUGCCCAGACACCCCUCCUCAGAAUGGAAUGGCGGAAAGGAAAAAUCGGCAUAUUCUUGAGGUUGCUCAGUCAUUGAUAUUUACGAUGAAUGUGCCCAAAUUCUUGUGGAGUGAAGCAAUGAUGACAGCCACAUACCUGAUCAACCGGACACCAUCAAGAAUACUAAGCAUGAAGUCUCCGUGUGAGCUAGUAUAUGGAGAAACUAAGUUUGUUAUUCCCCCAAAAUUGUUUGGCGGUACCUGUUUUGUUCGUGAUCACCGUCCUUCUGUUGGAAAACUUGAUCCGCGAGCAGUGAAGUGUAUUUUUCUGGGCUAUUCUUCCAGUCAACAGGGAUAUAAAUGUUGGUGUCUCUCAGAGAAACGCAGGUUUGUCAGUAUGGAUGUAACCUUCAGGGAGUCUGAGCCAUUCUAUGGUGAGCCAACAGAUCUAAGUGUGUUGUUUCAAGAGCUUGACCAUUUACACUCUGUGCAGGAUGGUCAAGAGGGGGAGAAGGCUGUGUCUCACACUCAGGAGGAUUCUGUGGGCACUAACAUUGAUGAUGAUGUGCAGGUUCAAGUCCAGCCAAUUGUGGGUACAAUUGCAGUUGGUACUCUCACUGAUGGUGAUGUGCAGGUUCAGGUCCAGCCAACAGUGGGUUCCAUUCAGAUUGGUAAUCUCCAGCUCCCUGUUCCAGAUCGGUGGCAGAAUAUUCCCCUAGUGUACUCUCGAUGGCAGCAACAAGUGCCACAAGUGCAUAGCUCAUCUGACACACGUCUGGUCUAUUCACGGCGGCAACCACUUGUGCAGGAGGAGCAGCAAGUGCAGGGGGAGCAAUCAGUGCAGGGGGAGCAACAAGGCAGUGGUGCAAGCUCAUCUGACACGGUGGAACUGCCUAUUGCGUUGCGAAAGGGGACACGUGAAGCGGCACAGAAGGCUUUACCACCGAAGUUUUUUGAUGAUCAUGACAUUGGAAAUUGUGUGUCUUAUGAGGCUUUGUCUCCUUCCUAUAGAGUGUUUGUUGCCUCUCUUCAAACUGUGUCAAUCCCAAAGGAUUGGAAGGCUGCAAAGCAAGAUCCGAAGUGGCGUGAAGCGAUGAUAGAAGAGUUGGAAGCACUGAGGAAAAACAAGACGUGGGUGCUAACCACAUUGCCGGCAGGAAAGAAAGCAGUGAGUUGUAAGUGGAUUUUUACAGUGAAGCAGAAUCCUGAGGGGAAGGUGGAACGGUAUAAGGCCAGAUUGGUCGCCAGAGGAUAUAGUCAAACUUAUGGAAUGGACUAUGACGAGACGUUUGCUCCAGUGGCAAAGAUGAACACAGUAAGGAUAUUGGUUUCCUGUGCUGCAAACUUUGGGUGGAAGUUGCAUCAAUUAGAUGUCAAGAAUGCCUUCUUGCAUGGUGAGUUGAAGGAAGAAGUGUACAUGGAGAUACCACCAGGUUUUGGUACUUCACAGACCACGGGGAAGGUAUGCAGGCUGAAGAAAUCCUUGUAUGGACUGAAGCAAUCGCCGAGGGCUUGGUUCGAUAGGUUCAGAUGUGCUGUCCGUGCUAUGGGGUAUGGUCAAUGUAAUGGUGACCACACGGUGUUCUACAAACACUCACUCUCUGAUCGGAAGAUGACCAUCCUUGCAGUUUAUGUGGAUGACAUUAUCAUCACUUGA